GCAUCGAUGAAGAACGCAGCGAAAUGCGAUAAGUAAUGUGAAUUGCAGAAUUCAGUGAAUCAUCGAAUCUUUGAACGCACAUUGCGCCCCUUGGUAUUCCGAGGGGCAUGCCUGUUCGAGCGUCAUUAUAACCCCUCAAGCUCAGCUUGGUGUUGGGGCCUGCUGCACUGGCAGCCCUUAAAAUCAGUGGCGGCGCCAUCUGGCUCUAAGCGUAGUAAUUCUUCUCGCUAUGGAGUCCUGGUGGAUGCUUGCCAUCAACCCCCAAUUUUUCUAUGGUUGACCUCGGAUCAGGUAGGGAUACCCGCUGAACUUAAGCAUAUCAAUAAGCGGAGGA
rnacentral:misc_RNA from 1 species